rnacentral:lncRNA from 1 species
CAUCCCACAGCAGAGCGCCUGACGAGCCCGAGCUACAGGGCGCCUCCAACCCAGCUUCCUGCGCGUGACGUCCCAGGGGGGCAGCAGGUGAUGGCUCCAGGACGAGGGUCCCUGCCACCUGUGUGGAAACCUGGACGGAGCUCCUGGCUCCUGGCUUCCGCCUGGCCCAGCCCCACGCAUUUGGGGAAUGAACCAGCAGAUGGAAGAUUCUCUCCCUUUCUCCCCCUCCCUCCCUCUCCAUCUGUGUCUCUCUGCCUUUCAAACAAAUUCGGAAAAAAUAAAUGAAAAGGGCAGUCCAGGCUGCUCUUUCUCACCAAAUCUAGGAAACCCGCCCGGCCCCCUGGCAGCGUCUCUGGAACCGGGGUGCCGCUCGGCCGUGCGGGGCUGAGACGGCCCCUCAGGAGGCCCUGCCGUGGCCCCGACUCCCAGGCUGCACCUCGGCGAGGCCACGCGGCUGGGAAAAGCCGGGUUCUGAAAGCAAGGUCGCGUCGUGUUUCACGUAGGUUCGCUCUGUGCGCGCGUCCGAGACUGGGCCGCUGCGGGUUUCCAGUGCCGAGGAGGCCAGAGCUGGGGCCCGGGCCGUGGCCUCUGGGAGACGGAGCCGCGGGCACGCUUCUCGCCAGAGGCAGCGUGUGGCUCCCCUGUGUGUGGGGGGGUGACUCACCUGUGUGGGGGUGGCUCACCUGUAUGGGACCCAGGAGCCUCAGUUUCCCCCCUUGUAGGUGUGUGGAGACGCAGGGGCCUGGCCCACGAGGGCCGCUCAGCCCCUGAAGGGCCACACGGCGCCGCUGUCACCAGCUGGGGUUCCGGGUACAGUCCCGGCCCCCGCGCUCCCACACCGGGCAGCUGCUCGCCGGCCGGCUCUGGGCCCGUCCACAGUGAGCCACGCUUCUCUCCACCCCGGGGAGGCGGCGGAAUGAGAGUCUGUCAGACAAAGGUGCAGCCACGGCCAAGCCCCGCCCGGGUCCCCGGGGCCGCCGGCGCCUCCGGGUGACCAAGGUUUGCUGAGGGCUGGGAUUCUCUGCACAGAGCACAGCUAGUGGGUCCCCCUGAGAGCGGCCCCGACCCCGGCCGGCGCUGAGUGCCCACGACAGCCCCCAGCCGCCGGGCAGGGCGAGCAAGCACACACACACAGCAGCCUGUCCACAGGCUGCCCCUGUCCUGUGCUCUCUCCAGUGCGCCCU